UUGUAUUAUUUGAAUUACUUUUGGCAACUAGACCUGCCGGCAACAAUUUUGCGUAGUUGGAUCGCAGCGUUUGCGUGUGUGAGGUAAAGUUUUGCCAUUUUGUCAGUAUUUCGACACGAAAGGUCUUGCGCGGAAAAUGUCAGCUCCAAAAACAAAAAUUUUUGUUGGUCAUUUGCCAGACGGCUGUACAGAUGAUGAUCUACGUGCUUUGUUUUCGAAAUAUGGGUCAGUUACAGAGUGUGAUGUAAUAAACAAAUAUGGUUUUGUUCAUAUGGCAACACCUGAGCAAGCUCAAGAAGCUGUGAAGAAUCUUAAUAAUUACAAUCUCAUGGGAUCCAGCAUAAGUGUUGAGCCUUCAAAAAGCAAACUACAUCCAGAACCUGGUGCACCAGGUCGAGCCAAUAAGCAAACUGUCUUGAGUCGCAGAGGAUCUAAUGCACCUAGAAAUGGAUAUGGCCCUGUUUCUCGCGGAAGUUUUGGUGGUGGUUUUCCCAAUGGUUACAGACGUUUUGAUGGGCCACCAUUGGGUGGAGAUUCCUUUUAUGAUCGGCCAUUUGGAUUUGGCCGAGAAAGAAUGAGGCCAUAUCCUCCACCCUAUGAGCGACGAAGCCCAAAUAUGCCCCCAUUGCGUGAUGAUUAUCCACGAAGGCCACUUCCACCAUUGGCGAGUGUUGAUCCAUAUUCAAGGCCCCUGCCACCCUUGAGUAUGCGAGACGAUUUAUAUGAGAGAAGACCAAUGCUUGAGCGUUCUGAUUACCUUUAUUCUCGCAGGUCGCCUCCUGCACCUAUGAGAUCUUCUUAUUGGUAUGACAGUGUGGCUAAUGGUAUACUCUAGCUAAUCUGAUGAAUUCUGUGAUGGGGUAAUCCUUAGCAUAUGCUUGGACUUGCUGUGAAAACAAAUAUCUCAACAAACUAAUAAUAGAAGUUCACCCAUAUCAAGAAAGAGACCUCUUUUAAAUUCCUUUUUUGAGUAAUUUAUUAACAAUGACAAGAAAAUACUAAGAGUUGUCGAAGGACAUAUGAAAGAACAUCUCUCAUAGAGGAAAAUACCAGAUGAUAUGAGCUCAUGUAAUAAUCCAGUCAUUUUGUAUUUAUUUAAAAAUUCCAUGUUCUUCAUUUUUGUAUGUUAAAUGUGAUUGUUUCGAGUGUUGAAAUUGUAUUGUCAUCGAUACCAGUUUUUUUAAUAAAUAUUUUUAGUUUUUAUAGUG
rnacentral:misc_RNA from 1 species